CCUACGGGCGGCAGCAGUGGGGAAUAUUGCACAAUGGAGGGAACUCUGAUGCAGCGACGCCGCGUGCGUGAAGAAGUAUUUAGUUAUGUAAAGCUCUAUCAGCAGGGAGGAAAGUGACGGUACCUGAAAAAGAAGCUCCGGCUAAAUACGUGCCAGCAGCCGCGGUAAUACGUAGGGAGCAAGCGUUAUCCGGAUUUACUGGGUGUAAAGGGAGAGUAGGUGGCAGAGCAAGUCCGAAGUGAAACCCCAAAGCUCAACUAUGGGAAUGCUUUAGAAACUGCUCAGCUAGAGAGCAGGAGAGGCAGGUGGAAUGCUUGGUGUAGCGGUGAAAUGCGUAGAGAUUAGGAGGAACACCAGUGGCGAAGGCGGCUUGCUGGACUGUAACUGACACUGAGGCUCGAAAGCGUGGGGAGCAAACAGGAUUAGAUACCCUGGUAGUC
rnacentral:rRNA from 1 species